rnacentral:rRNA from 1 species
UACGAAGGGGGCUAGCGUUGUUCGGAAUUACUGGGCGUAAAGCGCACGUAGGCGGACUAUUAAGUCAGGGGUGAAAUCCCGGGGCUCAACCCCGGAACUGCCUUUGAUACUGGUAGUCUCGAGUCCGGAAGAGGUGAGUGGAAUUCCGAGUGUAGAGGUGAAAUUCGUAGAUAUUCGGAGGAACACCAGUGGCGAAGGCGGCUCACUGGUCCGGUACUGACGCUGAGGUGCGAAAGCGUGGGAGCA